rnacentral:lncRNA from 1 species
UUUAAGAGGAAGCUUUCAUUUCAGUUUUGAUUGCAUCAACCAGCUGAUCAUAAGCUUCUCCCCAUGCAUUCUUCAUUGCUGGUGACCACAUUUCAGGUACUGCUUCUUUUAUUGUCUCCAAAAGUGCAAACUUUGUUACCUUAACAAAAUCAAAACAAGUUAUACAUUGUCUUUUAUAAAACUAUUCUGCCAAAGUAAACAUUACUUCUUAUGUUAGCUUAUAAGAGCAAACAUGAUUGACACUUGCAAUAAAACAUACUCAUUGAAAAUUUAUAUAUACCUCAAAAUGCUCGUCUACUACACCGUUUUUAAAAUGGGUAGCACCAAGUUUUUUCAAGUUUGAUUCUCUCACAGUUACUUUACCAGCCUUCCGCAGUUGGAUUGCUGAUUCACAUGUCUGCAAUAACAAUAACAACAUAAUUACUAACUGGUGUUUUUUCUUAAUCAUCCAAAAAGAUGUGACAUGAUACAAGAAAAAGUAUAAUUAAUUACUGAUGAAAAAUUGAAGUUUUUUCUCUAAUAUAGAAUUAAUUAGUUACAAAAUUAGAAAACGGAUUUCAUAUUUUCCUUCACUAAAUUUUCUUAGCUUAUUUUGAAUUUUUUUUUGUAGUGACUUACCAUGAGAAAGACAGACAUGGCAUGUGGCUUGAGCUUGGGAUUUUGGUCCAAAGGAACUUUUGAAUCUUUCAAGAAUGAGAACAGUUUCUGAGCUGAUGGAGCAAUUUCAAAUAUUCUACAAAAUAAUAAAUAAAAAAAUCAGUUCAAUUGCUAAAACCUUUAUAACACUGACAUUUCUUAUCAAAGACGUGUCUGAUGUAUGAUGUAUAUGUUAAUAUUUGUACUUCAUAGGUUAAAAUAAAUCAAGAUGAUAAGUUUAAAAUGUGAAGAAAUUAAUUAAGGCCUUACUUCAAG